GCAAGUCGAACGGUAACGCGGGCUUCGGCCUGGCGAUGAGUGGCGAACGGGUGAGUACAACAUCGGAACGUAUCUUGAAGUGGGGGAUAGCCCGGCGAAAGCCGGAUUAAUACCGCAUGAUCUCUUAGGAGCAAAGCGGGGGAGCCGUAAGAUCCUCUCGCUAUUGGAGCGGCCGAUGCCAGAUUAGCUUGUUGGUGGAGUAAAGGCCUACCAAGGCGACGAUCCGUAGCUGGUCUGAGAGGAUGAUC
rnacentral:rRNA from 1 species